GUUUUGCUUUCUCCUUUUUCAUACGUUUUCAUUCUUCCAGGGCUUUUAAUCGUGUCGCACGUUCUCCCUUUUAUGUCUUUCGUUUUCCUUCGAUCGGUUGUCAAGAUAUGCGAAGCCCGUUACAGGUCGUGUGAGCAGAACUGAAGCAGAGCACGAACGAGGCGAAGCAGAUGAGACUGACCAGGUUGAUCCAUUGGUGGAAUGAUCUGGGAUUUAGGGUGUUGCUUUGCAUCACCUGAGAGAGGACGAUCCAAUCCAAGUUGGAUGCAUUUUGGUUGAAAACCAGAUUUUGUGUAUCCCCUUUUUAAUCCUAAUUGAUGGUUUUGGUUCGGUCACUUUUCAUCGAAGCUGAUAGAGAAUUGGGGCUUUGAUGUCGAGGGGAUAUUGCAGUGUGUAAUUGAAGUUGGACAUGUUAAAUCAGCUCUUUCUGUAAGAGAUAAGCUUGAAUCACUGUGUACAACUAGGAGAUUGGCUAGGAUGAAAUUAAAAAGGGAUUUGUUGAAUAUCGAGCUAAGCUACAGGUUGAGUUUCAAAAGAAAGUUUCAGAUAUAAGACUAUUAUUCAAUUUGAUAAAUGCAGCUGCAAAAUUAUCCUUUUAUCUGAUUCUCACAUGAUGCAUUCUCUCAUUUCUCUUCAUGCUUUACCAAGAAUACAAAGUAACAAAGAUUUUGGAGCUUAUAAUGUCAAGCAGCUUGAACAAGAGAUUGAAGGAAAAAUCCAGUGCUUGAAAACAGAGGCUCCAAUAAUAUCGAAUGAUGUGUUAGAGGACAAAUGUGUUGUCCUUGAAAGCAAGGUAUGAUGAUAUUGACAUUGCAUGUUUUGUUUGGCGUUUGCAAACUCAAACUGUCAAUUUUAAAAAAGCUUUUUUCUAAUAGCUAUUAAAAUAAUAUUGCUAUUAUUUCUGCCUUGGCUUUUGUGUGGGUUGAAGUAUCCUUGAAUAUAUAGGUCCAUCAUUCUUGGUUAAGAAAAUAAAUCAAUUUUGUUCUUGAGAUUGUCAAUGGAACAAGAAAGAAGCUUAAUGGAAGAAGAGAGUAGCUGCCCUUGAAAGAAAGGUAUGGUCAUAUUGACAUGCAUGUUUGUUUGGCGUUUGCAAAGCCCCAAAUCAUGGUUUGAAAAAAAUGUGUUUCUCAUAACUUUUAUAUUUAUGGCAGUGUUUCUUCUUGCCUUUGUGACGGUUGGAUUAUCCUUGAAUAGACUAGGUUAUAUUUCCUUCAUUCUUGGUUAAGAGAAUAUAUGUCAAUUAUGUUCUCAGGUGGUGAUUGUCACAAGAAAGAAGCUGAAUGGAAGAAGAGAUAAUCUGCAUUGCAUCUUGAAGUUAAGAACCUCACUGGGGUAUCCUUUAUGUUUUCUAUGAAGGAUGCCUGGCGUUUGAUUGUAGUCAAUCUGUAGUUUUCCUAAAUUAGAACUAGAUUCACCUCUGGUGAUCCAUGCCUUUCUCCGAUUCAAUGAGGAAUAUGUUGAUGUCUUAGCUGCAUCCUACCUUUCGGUUAGACCUGACUGAGAGAGAGAGGAAUAUUGUUGAGGUGGUUGUGACAAAAGAAGAAAUGGAGAUGUUUGGUGAUCUACUACCUCUCACCAUUUUACAGUGCUAGAGACCAUGUUAAUAACAAAAGCAAGGGUCAUGUUCCAGGUAAGUAGGACUGCGCCAUAUAUAUGCUUAUUGUAAGUAUCAAGCAUCAAGGGUUAGUUCAUUAAGCACAUUAUAAAUAUUAAUUUUGAGUUUAGUGUUUUAUUGCUUUUACUGCAAACUGAUGAUGAUUCUGUAAUUUUGGUUAAAAUUAUAUGUAUAACUUAUUUAUAUGCUCUCCUCAUGGAUAUCUCUUGCCAUUGAGAUCUUGACAAGGAAAAUCUUCUGGCCUACAUUAGACGGCAGUCUUUCCUCAUUUAAGUAUGAGAAAAGACAUACAAAGUAUAGGAGCAGAUCUCAUGCUGGAAGAGGAAAAAAGUUGGUUAUGAAAUCAGAUAGGUCUCAACAAGUAAGGUUGGAUGUGCUAGCCGCGAGUCUUCUGCAUAUUUUUCUAAUGCAAACCAAGGACCUGAAAUAUAAUGAGUGAUGCUUGUGAUGAGCUUAGAGCCAAAAUUCAAGCCAUGUUGGUGGCUAACUUAUAAAAGCUGCAUAGGGUUGCCCACUCUAUUGUAUUUCCUCUUUAUCCGAGAUUUGUUCUUGGAACCUAUUUCUGCUAAUAACCUUCUUCUGUCAAUUAGCAUCUAACUUUGCACACUUUUACUCCUCAUUUUUUAUCCUUCAAUCUGACAACAAUCCUUUAUUUUCAAUCAUCAUGCAUUUUAUUGUCAUCGCUUGAAAUUUACCACUUCUCCAGCCCAAUGCAGCAUCUAAUGACUGAACUGUUGACAUUAAAUCUGAGGUUGCGGUAUGUUUACAUAUAAAAUAAGCCAUAAGGCAGU